rnacentral:rRNA from 1 species
AGUAACCUGCCCUGGAGUGGGGAAUAACAGCUGGAAACAGCUGCUAAUACCGCAUAAUGCAGUUGGGCCGCAUGGCUCUGACUGCCAAAGAUUUAUCGCUCUGGGAUGGACUCGCGUCUGAUUAGCUAGUUGGUGGGGCAACGGCCCACCAAGGCGACGAUCAGUAGCCGGACUGAGAGGUUGGCCGGCCACAUUGGGACUGAGACACGGCCCAGACUCCUACGGGAGGCAGCAG